rnacentral:piRNA from 1 species
UCAUAUAAAAAUGAAGGCAGUGGUGUC